rnacentral:rRNA from 1 species
CCUACGGGGGGCAGCAGUGAGGAAUAUUGCGCAAUGGGGGAAACCCUGACGCAGCAACGCCGCGUGAGUGAGGAAGGUUUUCGGACCGUAAAGCUCUGUCGAGCGGGAAGAAGUGCAUGGUGGCUAAUAUCCAUUAUGCUUGACGGUACCGCUAAAGGAAGCACCGGCUAACUCCGUGCCAGCAGCCGCGGUAAUACGGGGGGUAUUAGCGUGGGUAGGAAGCGUUGGGCCGACAGAGCGAGUCAGAUGUGAAAGCCCUGGGCUUAACCUAGGAAGUGCAUUUGAAACUGUUCAGCUUGAGUAAGGGAGAGGAAAGUGGAAUUCCUGGUGUAGAGGUGAAAUUCGUAGAUAUCAGGAGGAACACCGGUGGCGAAGGCGACUUUCUGGCCCUAUACUGACGCUGAGACGCGAGAGCGUGGGUAGCAAACAGGAUUAGAUACCCCAGUAGUC